AGGGAGAAGAGUUCCUAUGACCAUAAGCUGCUGAAGGGAGAUCCAUAGACAAACAAAAGAUUUCAGAGAUGCCAGAAAACUCUUCUAGAACAGAGCACUGAGACAGUGGACAUGAUCUCUGCUUCCCAGACUAUGACAGAGCAGCCACAUGGUUCUCAUCUCCUGUGAUACUCAGACAUUCUCCUGCAGUGCUACUUCCACCCCCUCCCUCCCCCUGGCAAAUGCAUGUCAAACCAUUGUUUGGGGCAAUCAGACAGGACAGUAGGGCAAGGAUGGGGAAAUACCUACUGCAGAUAUAGCAAGCAAUACACCAGGACCCACCACAUGGGGUUGUGAGGAGCAGAGACCAUCUUCCCAGCUGCGUUCCAGGUGCUUUACAUGAACUCCCAUAAGGGCAGGGACAGAGCCAGACUUUAAGCCCUCAGAAUCUGGCCCUUCAGUCGCACCGUGUAAUAUCACUUUAA